UUACGGGAGGCAGCAGUGAGGAAUUUUCCGCAAUGAGUGAAAGCUUGACGGAGCAAUGCCGCGUGGAGGAAGAAGGCCUUAGGGUUGUAAACUCCUUUUCUCAUUGAAGAAAUUUUGACGGUAUUUGAGGAAUAAGCAUCGGCUAACUCCGUGCCAGCAGCCGCGGUAAUACGGGGGAUGCAAGCGUUAUCCGGAAUUAUUGGGCGUAAAGAGUUUGUAGGUGGCUUGGUGUGUUUAGUGUUAAAUUUUAGAGCUUAACUCUGACAAGGCACUAAAAACUAUUAGGCUUGAGUAUGAUAGAGGUAAAGGGAAUUCCCAGUGUAGCGGCGAAAUGCGUAGAUAUUGGGAAGAACACCAACGGCGAAAGCACUUUGCUAGGUUAAUACUGACACUGAGAAACGAGAGCUAAGGUAGCAAACAGGAUUAGAUACCCUAGUAGUCCU
rnacentral:rRNA from 1 species